rnacentral:rRNA from 1 species
UACGUAGGGGGCAAGCGUUGUCCGGAUUUAUUGGGCGUAAAGAGCGUGUAGGCGGCCAUACAGGUCCGUUGUGAAAACUGGAGGCUUAACCUCCAGACGUCGAUGGAAACCGUAUGGCUAGAGUCCGGAAGAGGAGAGUGGAAUUCCUGGUGUAGCGGUGAAAUGCGCAGAUAUCAGGAAGAACACCCGUGGCGAAGGCGGCUCUCUGGGACGGUACUGACGCUGAGACGCGAAAGCGUGGGGAGCAAAGCAGG